rnacentral:rRNA from 1 species
CAGGCUUAACACAUGCAAGUCGAGGGGCAUCAGGAAGAAAGCUUGCUUUCUUUGCUGGCGACCGGCGCACGGGUGAGUAACACGUAUCCAACCUGCCCUUUACUCGGGGAUAGCCUUUCGAAAGAAAGAUUAAUACCCGAUAGCAUAAUGAUUCCGCAUGGUUUCAUUAUUAAAGGAUUCCGGUAAAGGAUGGGGAUGCGUUCCAUUAGGUUGUUGGUGAGGUAACGGCCCACCAAGCCUUCGAUGGAUAGGGGUUCUGAGAGGAAGGUCCCCCACAUUGGAACUGAGACACGGUCCAAACUCCUACGGGAGGCAGCAGUGAGGAAUAUUGGUCAAUGGGCGCUAGCCUGAACCAGCCAAGUAGCGUGAAGGAUGAAGGCUCUAUGGGUCGUAAACUUCUUUUAUAUAAGAAUAAAGUGCAGUAUGUAUACUGUUUUGUAUGUAUUAUAUGAAUAAGGAUCGGCUAACUCCGUGCCAGCAGCCGCGGUAAUACGGAGGAUCCGAGCGUUAUCCGGAUUUAUUGGGUUUAAAGGGAGCGUAGGUGGACUGGUAAGUCAGUUGUGAAAGUUUGCGGCUCAACCGUAAAAUUGCAGUUGAUACUGUCAGUCUUGAGUACAGUAGAGGUGGGCGGAAUUCGUGGUGUAGCGGUGAAAUGCUUAGAUAUCACGAAGAACUCCGAUUGCGAAGGCAGCUCACUGGACUGCAACUGACACUGAUGCUCGAAAGUGUGGGUAUCAAACAGGAUUAGAUACCCUGGUAGUCCACACAGUAAACGAUGAAUACUCGCUGUUUGCGAUAUACAGUAAGCGGCCAAGCGAAAGCAUUAAGUAUUCCACCUGGGGAGUACGCCGGCAACGGUGAAACUCAAAGGAAUUGACGGGGGCCCGCACAAGCGGAGGAACAUGUGGUUUAAUUCGAUGAUACGCGAGGAACCUUACCCGGGCUUAAAUUGCAGUGGAAUGAUGUGGAAACAUGUCAGUGAGCAAUCACCGCUGUGAAGGUGCUGCAUGGUUGUCGUCAGCUCGUGCCGUGAGGUGUCGGCUUAAGUGCCAUAACGAGCGCAACCCUUAUCUUUAGUUACUAACAGGUUAUGCUGAGGACUCUAGAGAGACUGCCGUCGUAAGAUGUGAGGAAGGUGGGGAUGACGUCAAAUCAGCACGGCCCUUACGUCCGGGGCUACACACGUGUUACAAUGGGGGGUACAGAAGGCAGCUAGCGGGUGACCGUAUGCUAAUCCCAAAAUCCUCUCUCAGUUCGGAUCGAAGUCUGCAACCCGACUUCGUGAAGCUGGAUUCGCUAGUAAUCGCGCAUCAGCCACGGCGCGGUGAAUACGUUCCCGGGCCUUGUACACACCGCCCAUCAAGCCAUGGGAGCCGGGGGUACCUGAAGUACGUAACCGCAAGGAUCGUCCUAGGGUAAAACUGGUGACUGGGGCUAAGU